GAUGAACGCUGGCGGCGUGCCUAAUACAUGCAAGUCGAACGAAACUUCUUUAUCACCGAGUGCUUGCACUCACCGAUAAAGAGUUGAGUGGCGAACGGGUGAGUAACACGUGGGCAACCUGCCCAAAAGAGGGGGAUAACACUUGGAAACAGGUGCUAAUACCGCAUAACCAUAGUUACCGCAUGGUAACUAUGUAAAAGGUGGCUAUACUACCGCUUUUGGAUGGGUCCGCGGCGCAUUAGCUAGUUGGUAGGGUAAAGGCUUACCAAGGCAAUGAUGCGUAGCCGAAUUGAGAGGUUGAUCGGCCACAUUGGGACUGAGACACGGCCCAAACUCCUACGGGAGGCAGCAGUAGGGAAUCUUCCACAAUGGGCGAAAGCCUGAUGGAGCAACGCCGCGUGGGUGAAGAAGGUCUUCGGAUCGUAAAACCCUGUUGUUAGAGAAGAAAGUGCGUGAGAGUAACUGUUCACGUUUCGACGGUAUCUAACCGGAAAGCCACGGCUAACUACGUG
rnacentral:rRNA from 1 species